rnacentral:rRNA from 1 species
CGCUCGUAGUCGGAUUUCGGGGCGGGCCGACCGGUCUGCCGAUGGGUAUGCACUGGCCGGCGCGUCCUUCCACCCGGAGACCGCGCCUACUCUUAACUGAGCGGGCGCGGGAGACGGGUCUUUUACUUUGAAAAAAUCAGAGUGUUUCAAGCAGGCAGUCGCUCUUGCAUGGAUUAGCAUGGGAUAAUGAAAUAGGACUCUGGUGCUAUUUUGUUGGUUUCGAACACCGGAGUAAUGAUUAACAGGGACAGUCAGGGGCACUCGUAUUCCGCCGAGAGAGGUGAAAUUCUCAGACCAGCGGAAGACGAACCACUGCGAAAGCAUUUGCCAGGGAUGUUUUCACUGAUCAAGAACGAAAGUUAGGGGAUCGAAGACGAUCAGAUACCGUCGUAGUCUUAACCAUAAACCAUGCCGACUAGGGAUUGGGAGGAUGUUCCAUUUGUGACUCCUUCAGCACCUUUCGGGAAACUAAAGUCUUUGGGUUCCGGGGGGGAGUAUGGUCGCAAGGCUGAAACUUAAAGGAAUUGACGGAAGGGCACCACCAGGAGUGGAGCCUGCGGCUUAAUUUGACUCAACACGGGGAAACUUACCAGGUCCAGACAUUGUGAGGAUUGACAGAUUGAGAGCUCU